ensembl:lncRNA
AUGGGGACGGGGACGGGGAUGGGGAUGGGGGCUGAAUCAAAGACUCGUCUCCUGCCGUGUGCACCAAGUGUGGGACUGAACAGAAGAGCACUCUCUCAGUGUGUAAGCCCAUGGUGAUGAAACAUUCACAAGCACUUCCUCUACACACUCAAGGACAAGUGUGACUACAGGGGCAACAGGGGCUUCAAACCAAAUAAGAGGUAUUUCUUGUAACCAGUAGACAAAGUGCAUUUUUUUUCGUUGUUGUUGUAUUUGGUACAAAAGUAUGGAACAAAGAAGGCGUGGUUUCUACAUAGCACUUAGCAAGAGCCAAUGCUCUUCAAUGCCAACAAAUUACACAUGGACAUGUGAAACUGACAAAAAGCAACGAUGAAAAGCAAUCUACCGAACUUACUCUAAACGGAUUUUGCCGUUUCUUUCCUUCUUCGUCUUCGUCCUUCCACAGUCUUUCAACUUUGAAGUCAGACAUUUCGAAAAAUGGUAGCAAAUUGAAAGGAUGUCUGAUGAGGAAAAAAAAAAACACCACAACAAGACUGAAGUGUUCAUGUAUUUUUUUGUUUUUUUUUUCUUUAAGAUGAUAUAUAUCAAAGUAAAUAUCACUGUUACAGUACUCCAAAAUCAUUAGCCUUUUGUCUGGAGAUGCUAGACGUGUUGUAAUGUUUCUAAUGGAUUCUGCGGGGCCCCCUGCCCUGGCGGCCCCGCCUACCUGUAUGAUAAGUGUGGCCAUUGAGUGCCUAUCUGCUGUGGCGCCUCAGGUGCCCACACUCUGACUUUUGACCCGCUGUGCCAGGCCGGCGCACCAGAUGCCAGAACGGACCCGCCUGGGGCCGGAGCAGUGGCUCCUUCAGACCUGGCCAAUCAGUACGUACUACUACUGCGCCAGCACUCGACCUCGUCUCAACUUCACUCUCAUAGACUCUCUUUCUCCCUCUCAUGCAAAGAUCACUUUAGCUGGAAGUGGACAGGUUCGUUUUAUGUACUUGUUACCAUCGAUUGGGUUUUCCCUUCUGGAAUUGCCAGUGUUUUUUUGUUUUGUUGGUUUUUUUGGUCAACAUUGCUGUUGUUAUCGUCGUUGCUGUUGUUGAUGUUAUAUGGUUAUUUUGCGCUUUUUCGGUUUAUGUGUGUGUCAAUGCAGUGGUCUCUAUGGUAGCUGCUCUCACCAGCCCCUCUUGCUGCACAUAUGCAGAAACACUCUGAUUAAGAGGCACACCUCAGCGUAAACGGCGGCGCCAAUUGAUCCAGAAUCACUCGUAGUGACGGAAAUGGGUUGUUUUGAGGACGGAGCGCACGUAGUGGCGAAAGGAAGAGUAGGUCGAUGGUGCUCAGUUUGUGUUCUGCCUCUCCUCUGCACGUUCCUCCGCUCCGGUGUCGCAGCCCCGCCAGGCCACACACUCACACUGGUGCUUACGACAAAGGGCAGGCAGAGUACACUACUUUACCUGGUCGCCUCUUCUCGCAGUAAUAAAAGCAAAUGAUAACGGAGACUCGGUUCUCCACUUCUAUGCAAAGACCGACCGAGAGGUGCAGUUCACGGCCUUCAAUCUGUAGUUCUCUCCAAGCCCACUCUUCAGCUAACCAGGCCUUCACUGUUUACUCUCUGAAUGAUCUCUUACAUUAUGUACAUGCAGUCUCAGGGCAGCCUCAGAGAACCCCAAACUGUUUUAUCGUUACGAGGAGGGCGCUAUUGCAUUAUCCGAUGUGGCUUUAAAGAUGCUAAAUGGGUGGGCGAGUGGACUCGGAGAAGGAUUCGCAGGAAGUCCCUCUGGUUUUUUUAUUUUUUAUUUUCUAGAUCCUAAUGUACCUAUUCUCGAUCGUAGACCUAACCUAGACAUGAGUCUAUCAGAGUGGAACUUCCUCUUUAUUGAAAUUUGUUUUGAUGUUUGUAAAGAGCACAUGGAGAUGGAGAGGUAGAAUGCAGGUUGGCACCAAGACAGACGGGUAGCACCUUGUCCCGGGUCUCAAAUAUGUACGUCUG